UAUGUUUUGUUCAUACGGUGAGUAAAUGUUACUGUUAUUUUUGCAGGAGGAACCCGAAGGAGGCUGGAAGAAAAAGUCGUGUUACCUUGAAAGCAGUCAGACACAGAACGGCUGGAUCUCCCAGAGGAGACGUCAAAGCAAGCAGACAUCAUGUCCGCGGACGGAAAACUUCAAUGUUUUGACAGAAUAAAGCCCAGAGCAGCAGCACCAGCAGCAGCGUGUUUGUGCGGACAGCAGUGAAGUAAAGCUGCAAUUAUUUGUUUGUUUAUGUGCCGUCUGUUCAGUCCCAAGUAUUUAUUUUAAAAUUCUCUCGUCUCGCGUUCCAGAACAAUAAAACUCCUUAAGACAGUGGUAUGCAGACUAUUUACCAUGGGGGUGAAAAUUGUCAAGUUGAGAACACUUCAUUUUGUUUUAAUUAAAGGUGAGUUUCUUAAGACA